rnacentral:rRNA from 1 species
GAUGAACGCUGGCGGCGUGCCUAAUACAUGCAAGUCGAGCGAACGGACGAGAAGCUUGCUUCUCUGAUGUUAGCGGCGGACGGGUGAGUAACACGUGGAUAACCUACCUAUAAGACUGGGAUAACUUCGGGAAACCGGAGCUAAUACCGGAUAAUAUUUUGAACCGCAUGGUUCAAAAGUGAAAGACGGUCUUGCUGUCACUUAUAGCUGGUUCCGCGCUGCAUUAGCUAGUUGGUAAGGUAACGGCUUACCAAGGCAACGAUGCAUAGCCGACCUGAGAGGGUGAUAGGCCACACUGGAACUGAGACACGGUCCAGACUCCUACGGGAGGCAGCAGUAGGGAAUCUUCCGCAAUGGGCGAAAGCCUGACGGAGCAACGCCGCGUGAGUGAUGAAGGUCUUCGGAUCGUAAAACUCUGUUAUUAGGGAAGAACAUAUGUGUAAGUAACUGUGCACAUCUUGACGGUACCUAAUCAGAAAGCCACGGCUAACUACGUG